rnacentral:rRNA from 1 species
GACGAACGCUGGCGGCGUGCUUAACACAUGCAAGUCGAACGGAAAGGCCCUGCUUUUGUGGGGUGCUCGAGUGGCGAACGGGUGAGUAACACGUGAGUAACCUGCCCUUGACUUUGGGAUAACUUCAGGAAACUGGGGCUAAUACCGGAUAGGAGCUCCUGCUGCAUGGUGGGGGUUGGAAAGUUUCGGCGGUUGGGGAUGGACUCGCGGCUUAUCAGCUUGUUGGUGGGGUAGUGGCUUACCAAGGCUUUGACGGGUAGCCGGCCUGAGAGGGUGACCGGGCACAUUGGGACUGAGGUACGGCCCAGAAUCCUACGGGAGGCAACAGGGGGGAAUAUUGCACAAUGGGCGGGAGCCUGAUGCAGCAACGCCGGGUGCGGGAAGACCGCCUUCGGGGUGUAAACCGCUUUCGCCUGUGACGAAGCGUGAGUGACGGUAAUGGGUAAAGAAGCACCGGCUAACUACGUG